rnacentral:rRNA from 1 species
UACGUAGGGGGCAAGCGUUGUCCGGAAUCAUUGGGCGUAAAGGGUGCGUAGGCGGCGCGGUAAGUCGGGUGUGAAAUCUUGGAGCUUAACUCCGAAACUGCAUUCGAUACUGCCGUGCUUGAGGACUGGAGAGGAGAUUGGAAUUUACGGUGUAGCGGUGAAAUGCGUAGAUAUCGUAAGGAAGACCAGUGGCGAAGGCGGGUCUCGUGGACAGUUCCUGACGCUGAGGCACGAAGGCCAGGGGAGCAAACGGG